rnacentral:rRNA from 1 species
UACAGAGGUCCCGAGCGUUGUUCGGAUUUACUGGGCGUAAAGAGCGCGCAGGCGGUCGUUCAAGUCGAGUGUGAAAGCCCCCGGCUCAACUGGGGAGGGUCACUCGAUACUGAUCGACUUGAAGGCAGGAGAGGGAAGCGGAAUUCCCGGUGUAGUGGUGAAAUGCGUAGAUAUCGGGAGGAACACCAGUGGCGAAGGCGGCUUCCUGGCCUGUUCUUGACGCUGAGGCGCGAAAGCUAGGGGAGCAAACGGG